UUGUUAGCCCUAGUUUGUCAAAUCCCUAAUCUUUCAUCAUCUUGAUUUUUCGCCGGAACUUCGCCGGAACUCCACCGUGAACUCUUGCUUGGCUAUUGUUCUGCUCAUACCUCCCUCCCUAUAGUGCUGAUGGCCGAUGAAAAAAUUGCGUUAGCUAAAAUGCUUCUCGCUCAAAUUACGUUGGAUAAUCCUUUCAUGAAAUUGCUACGUUUAUACCAUUUAGCAGCAGCUCAAGUUGUUAUCACUGUAAUUGGUUGGCUUAUCAUACAUGAAAGACUGCUUGAAGGAGACCAAACAAGAAAAAUUAACUUGGUCAUGGCGGUUGAGUCGGUAGCUAAUGCUAUUGUUCAAUCAACCAAUGCAAUGAUUCAAGCAUCAAAUGCUAUGACAGAAAAAUUCAUAAAUAUUUUGGAAGAAUGUGCUGCAAACCGAGAUCCACUUAAAGAUUUUGAUGUAUGGGGUUUGCUUACGGACAUGGGAAUAACACAACCUCUUCUUAACAAAACUUAUAUGUUCCUUAUCAAAGAACCAAAGAUGUUGGGAGGUGUGAUUGGAUGUCCAGAUGAGCAUCGCAAAUCUUUGUUGUUAAAGUUAAUGGGUUGUGAUCAUGAAUCGCACAACUAAAAUGUAAGGCCUAUGCUCUUUAAUACAAAUCUUGAUCAACAUGUGAAAACUUUGAUAUAGCAGCUGAGGGGAAGUUGUGCCUGGCUACUAUUUUUGUAAUGAUGUGUUAGCCAUUGUUUCAUUGUCUAAGAACUUGAAUUGUGUAAUGAUGAAAAAAUUUUAGUGAAUGUCAUCUAAUGUAAGUGUGGACUGCACUGAUUUUUCAUUGGAAAGUGAAUUUCUGGUCUUGCUU